UACAGAGGUCUCAAGCGUUGUUCGGAUUCAUUGGGCGUAAAGGGUGUGUAGGUGGCGCCGUAAGUCGGGUGUGAAAUUUCGGAGCUUAACUCCGAAACUGCAUUCGAUACUGCGGUGCUUUGAGGACUGGAGAGGAGACUGGAAUUUACGGUGUAGCAGUGAAAUGCGUAGAUAUCGUAAGGAAGACCAGUGGCGAAGGCGGGUCUCUGGACAGUUCCUGACACUGAGACACGAAGGCCCAGGGGGAGCAAACGGGG
rnacentral:rRNA from 1 species